AGUGAACGCUGGCGGCGUGGAUUAGGCAUGCAAGUCGAGGGCACUUUGGGGGCAACCCUGGAGUGACCGGCGAACGGGUGCGUAACACGUGAGCGACCUUGCCUCGUGGUGGGGGAUAGCCGGCCCAACGGCCGGGUAAUACCGCAUAUGGUGCUGACUCCGCAUGGAGACGGUAGCAAAGCCCUGGAGCAAUCCAGUGGCGCCAC
rnacentral:rRNA from 1 species